UACUGCAAGUCGAACGAACUCUGGUAUUGAUUGGUGCUUGCAUCAUGAUUUACAUUUGAGUGAGUGGCGAACUGGUGAGUAACACGUGGGAAACCUGCCCAGAAGCGGGGGAUAACACCUGGAAACAGAUGCUAAUACCGCAUAACAACUUGGACCGCAUGGUCCGAGCUUGAAAGAUGGCUUCGGCUAUCACUUUUGGAUGGUCCCGCGGCGUAUUAGCUAGAUGGUGGGGUAACGGCUCACCAUGGCAAUGAUACGUAGCCGACCUGAGAGGGUAAUCGGCCACAUUGGGACUGAGACACGGCCCAAACUCCUACGGGAGGCAGCAGUAGGGAAUCUUCCACAAUGGACGAAAGUCUGAUGGAGCAACGCCGCGUGAGUGAAGAAGGGUUUCGGCUCGUAAAACUCUGUUGUUAAAGAAGAACAUAUCUGAGAGUAACUGUUCAGGUAUUGACGGUAUUUAACCAGAAAGCCACGGCUAACUACGUGCCAGCAGCCGCGGUAAUACGUAGGUGGCAAGCGUUGUCCGGAUUUAUUGGGCGUAAAGCGAGCGCAGGCGGUUUUUUAAGUCUGAUGUGAAAGCCUUCGGCUCAACCGAAGAAGUGCAUCGGAAACUGGGAAACUUGAGUGCAGAAGAGGACAGUGGAACUCCAUGUGUAGCGGUGAAAUGCGUAGAUAUAUGGAAGAACACCAGUGGCGAAGGCGGCUGUCUGGUCUGUAACUGACGCUGAGGCUCGAAAGUAUGGGUAGCAAACAGGAUUAGAUACCCUGGUAGUCCAUACCGUAAACGAUGAAUGCUAAGUGUUGGAGGGUUUCCGCCCUUCAGUGCUGCAGCUAACGCAUUAAGCAUUCCGCCUGGGGAGUACGGCCGCAAGGCUGAAACUCAAAGGAAUUGACGGGGGCCCGCACAAGCGGUGGAGCAUGUGGUUUAAUUCGAAGCUACGCGAAGAACCUUACCAGGUCUUGACAUACUAUGCAAAUCUAAGAGAUUAGACGUUCCCUUCGGGGACAUGGAUACAGGU
rnacentral:rRNA from 2 species